UACGAAGGGGGCUAGCGUUGCUCGGAAUCACUGGGCGUAAAGCGCACGUAGGCGGAUCCUUAAGUCGGGGGUGAAAUCCUGGAGCUCAACUCCAGAACUGCCUUCGAUACUGAGGAUCUCGAGUCCGGGAGAGGUGAGUGGAACUGCGAGUGUAGAGGUGAAAUUCGUAGAUAUUCGCAAGAACACCAGUGGCGAAGGCGGCUCACUGGCCCGGUACUGACGCUGAGGUGCGAAAGCGUGGGGAGCAAACAGG
rnacentral:rRNA from 1 species